rnacentral:rRNA from 1 species
GGCCAGACUCCUACGGGAGGCAGCAGUGGGGAAUAUUGCACAAUGGGGGAAACCCUGAUGCAGCGACGCCGCGUGAGUGAAGAAGUAUUUCGGUAUGUAAAGCUCUAUCAGCAGGGAAGAAAAUGACGGUACCUGACUAAGAAGCCCCGGCUAACUACGUGCCAGCAGCCGCGGUAAUACGUAGGGGGCAAGCGUUAUCCGGAUUUACUGGGGGUAAAGGGGGCGCAGACGGCAGCGCAAGCCAGGAGUGAAAGCCCGGGGCCCAACCCCGGGACUGCUCUUGGAACUGCGCGGCUGGAGUGCAGGAGGGGCAGGCGGAAUUCCUGGUGUAGCGGUGAAAUGCGUAGAUAUCAGGAGGAACACCGGUGGCGAAGGCGGCCUGCUGGACUGCAACUGACGUUGAGGCCCGAAAGCGUGGGGAGCAAACAGGAUUAGAUACCCUCGUACUA